rnacentral:lncRNA from 1 species
GAACUUGGUUCCUCUGGUGCUUCCUCAUCCACUUCCACCACAUGAAUGUUUUUGUCACAUACCACUUCUCCAGUUUUAUCAGCCUCUUCUUUUUCUUCUUACUACUCCUUUUUCUCUUUUGCAAGUCAGACUUAAAAGCCUCAUUUACUUGCAACCUAGUGGUAGGUCACUUAGGAGAGAGAAGAUGAGUGGUUACUGACCUCCUCUUGGAAAUAAACGCCUCCAAAGAACCAUUAUCUUGAUCUUCUGCAUCACUAGAACUCAUACCAGGAGCCAGAAUUUCUAAGGGCUCAACAUCAAAGUGUGGAGAAGGAGAAAAGUUGAAAUUGACCCGGGAAGAGGGUCCCAGACCGGUUUCCUCAGGAAAAGGGGUCAGGUCCGUCAAGAGGGGUCUCAAUAGUUUCUGCUAGUGCAAAGUUUUCAAAAAGCACCACAGCUCCUUCUUCCACUGGCCUCUAUGUCUCAUUCCUCUAACACUCGGGCACAGUAGAGAUCACUGCAUACACUAUUCCAUCUACAGAUAAGGCCAAUAUAUUAUCUAUGGCCUCUUUCUCUUAAGACUCCUUGGAUUCAACAAAUAAAGAGGUGGGACCAACUGUAGACCAAUUAAUGCUAACCUCUAAGACCUCUAUUAUCUGCAAGACUUUACUCUGUAAUCCACCCUUGCUUUGUUCAGUGAAAAUCUCAGGAGAUAAAGAUGAGGGACUAUAAGGUCUUUGGGUUUUUGAGUUCUCAACAUUUUGAGGGAAAGAGAGGUUUGAGAGAGUGAUAUGAGAAAUGGAGUGUCUAGGAGAGUCAAUUUUGGGAGUAUCCUCUGUAGAGGUGGUUAUAAAAGGGAUGGUGAGAGAUGGUUCACUAGAAGAGGUGGAAUCAAGGGUUUUCUCGACUAGUUGAGAGUUUCGGAGAAAGACUAAAGAGAAGGAUAUGAUCGUUCAAGAAGAAGAGAGGGUUUAAAUGGGAGAAGAGAUAAUUAUGAGGGAAAGAGAGAAACCGAUUAUGAAAGGUAGUAGUUUUGUGGGGAGUUACAACAUUUCAGUGGGAGAUGAAGGGA